AACGAACGCUGGCGGCAUGCCUAACACAUGCAGGUCGAACGAGACCUUCGGGUCUAGUGGCGCACGGGUGCGUAACGCGUGGGAACCUGCCUUUAGGUUCGGAAUAACUCAGAGAAAUUUGAGCUAAUACCGGAUGAUGUCUUCGGACCAAAGAUUUAUCGCCUUUAGAUGGGCCCGCGUUGGAUUAGCUAGUUGGUGGGGUAAAGGCCUACCAAGGCGUCGAUCCAUAGCUGGUCUGAGAGGAUGAUCAGCCACACUGGGACUGAGACACGGCCCAGACUCCUACGGGAGGCAGCAGUGGGGAAUAUUGGACAAUGGGCGAAAGCCUGAUCCAGCAAUGCCGCGUGAGUGAUGAAGGCCUUAGGGUUGUAAAGCUCUUUUACCCGAGAUGAUAAUGACAGUAGCGGGAGAAUAAGCUCCGGCUAACUCCGUG
rnacentral:rRNA from 1 species